GACGAACGCUGGCGGCGUGCUUAACACAUGCAAGUCGAACGGAAAGGCCCUGCUUGCAGGGUACUCGAGUGGCGAACGGGUGAGUAACACGUGGGUGAUCUGCCCUGCACUUCGGGAUAAGCCUGGGAAACUGGGUCUAAUACCGGAUAUGACCUUCCAUGUAGUGUGGGGGGUGGAAAGAUUUAUCGGUGUGGGAUGAGCCCGCGGCCUAUCAGCUUGUUGGUGGGGUAAUGGCCUACCAAGGCGUCGACGGGUAGCCGGCCUGAGAGGGUGGACGGCCACAUUGGGACUGAGAUACGGCCCAGACUCCUACGGGAGGCAGCAGUGGGGAAUAUUGCACAAUGGGCGGAAGCCUGAGGCAGCGACGCCGCGUGGGGGAUGACGGCCUUCGGGUUGUAAACCUCUUUCGACAGGGACGAAGCUUCGGUGACGGUACCUGUAUAAGAAGCACCGGCUAACUACGU
rnacentral:rRNA from 1 species